UACGGGGGGGGGCAAGCGUUUGUUCGGAAUUACUGGGCGUAAAGGGCUCGUAGGUGGCCAACUAAGUCAGACGUGAAAUCCCUCGGCUUAACCGGGGAACUGCGUCUGAUACUGGAUGGCUUGAGUUCGGGAGAGGGAUGCGGAAUUCCAGGUGUAGCGGUGAAAUGCGUAGAUAUCUGGAGGAACACCGGUGGCGAAGGCGGCAUCCUGGACCGACACUGACACUGAGGAGCGAAAGCCAGGGGAGCAAACGGG
rnacentral:rRNA from 1 species